rnacentral:rRNA from 1 species
CCUACGGGUGGCAGCAGUGGGGAAUAUUGCACAAUGGGCGAAACCCUGACGCAGCGACGCCGCGUGAGUGAUGAAGGACUUCGGUACGUAAAGCUCUGUUAGCAGGGAAGAAAAUGACGGUACCUGACCAUGCAGCCCCGGCCAAAUCCGGGCCAGCAGCCGCGGGAAUACGUAGGGGGCAAGCGUUAUGCGGAUUUACUGGGGGUAAAGUGAGCGUAGACGGUAUGGCAAGUCUGGCGUGAAAGGCGGGGGCUCAACCCCCGGGCGGCUCUGGAAACUGCCAGGCUGGAGUGCAGGAGAGGUAAGUGGAAGUCCUGGUGUAGCGGUGAAAUGCGUAGAUAUUAGGAGGAACACCAGUGGCGAAGGCGGCUUACUGGUCUGUAACUGACGUUGAGGCUCGAAAGCGUGGGGAUCAAACAGGAUUAGAUACCCGUGUAGUC